rnacentral:lncRNA from 1 species
GGAGUUGGCAGCCAGUGGUCCUGGGGACCGCGAGAAACACUCUGUCUUCCUGCUUUGAGGACAGCUGAAGUCUUGCCACUUCUUCUGGAUGCUCUGACCAUCAGUAAGCCACCUCAGUCUCACCCUCCGCAGAAUGCAGGCCCACUCCGUUGCUGAAGGGCCUCCUCCUUGGGCCAGGGCGCCUGCUUCUGCCAGUGGCAUCAUCACCCCACUCCUCAGCCGCCAGUCAUCAGAGACACGGUCUGACUUUGUUACCCCGGCUGGAGUGCAGUGGUGCAAUCAUGGCUCACUGCAGCCUUAACCUCCUGGGCUCAAGUGAUCCUCUCGCCAAGGCUAGGAUAAGUAGCUAGGACUACAGAUGCGCCCCAUCACGCCCAGCUAAUUUUACAACUUCUGUAGAGAUGGAGUGUUGCUGGGUUGCCCAGGCUGGUCUUGAAUUCCUGGGCUCAAGCGAUCCUCCUGUGUCCGGAAUUGGUGGGUUCUUGGUCUCACUGACUUCAAGAAUGAAGCCGCGGACCCUCGCGAGUCUGUAUCCACCAGCUACUCUUCCAGAUUCAUGAGGCAAGGCCUGCCUGCUCACCUGGCUGGCCCCAAGCACCUCUUCAACCUGUUGCCACCGUCCUGCCUUGCUGCCCUUCUCAGCUCAUCCAGCAGGGUCUCCAAGUCGUGGAAACAGAAGCACAUAUACACACAUGCUCAUAUGUACAUGCCCACAGUCACAUAAGCACACCGAGAAACACCAUCGCAGACAUGUUCUCACAAGCACAUGUGCAUAACACUCACUACCCCUCACGCGUAUACACAUUAAUACACACACUCAUGCACACUCAGUCUUACACACACAGACACACAGCCAUAAUCACUGUUGUUGGUUGAAUUGUGCCCCCCCAUCCCCACCAAAAAGAUAAGUUGGAGUCCUAACCCCCAGUACCUGGGGAUGUGACCGUAGUUGGAAAUAGGGUGUUUGUAGAUGUAAUCAAAUUAAGAUGAGAUCUUACUGGAUUAGAGUGGGCCUUAAAUCCAGUGACUGGUGUCCUUAUAAGGAGAAAAAGAUUUGAAAACAGAGACAUGGAGACACAGAGCAGAAGGCCAUGUGAUGAUGGAGUCAGAGAUUGGAGUGAUGCAGCUAUGAGCCGAGAAAUACCAAGGUGCUGGCAGCCCCCAGAAGCAAGGAGAGAGGCAAGGAACAAUCUCCAUCAGAGCCUCUGGAAGAAACAGACUCUGCCAACACCUUGAUUUCAGACUUUUGGCCUCCUUCACUGUGCGAGAAUACGUUUCUGUUGUUUUAAACUACUGAGUCACCAAGUCUGUGGUACUGUGUUAUGGCAGCCCCGGCAACAAAUCCAAUCACACACACACACACACACACACACACACACACACACACACACACACACACAGCUGGCUCCAGGCUCAGUGAUGAGCUCAGAGGAGUUCCCCUUGGGAGCUGCUCUUUCUCUGUCUUCCUUCCUUAGUGAUUGGUCCAGUGGAUCCACAAAAGCUCAUGGCCCAGAGCAGGAGCCCAGUCAUUUUUAAUUCCUCUUCCCUGGAGUUCUUAACCAUGCGUUGCCCUCAAAAUCUGCUCUCAAGAUUUGGGUUGCCAUAUUUAGGAGCACCAGAAAACAUACAGGAAUGCUGUGUCUGCUUGCAUCAUAUUAAUUAAAAACUGGAAAUAACCUAAAUGUCCCAGAAUAGGUACAUAAACUGUGGCAUAUCCACUUAAUGGAAUACUACUCAGCAAUACAAAAGGAAAACCUAGUGUUACUUGAGCAACAUGGAUGAACUUCACAGACAUAAUAUUGCACAGCACGAGGCAGACACAAAAGUGUGCAUAUGCUAUGAUUCCAUUUACAUGAGAUUCAAGAACAGGCAAAGCAGAUCUAUGGGGAUAGAAGUCAGAAUAGUGGUUACCUCUGGAAGGUGGAAUUGACUGGGAGGGGCUUCAGGGAACCUCCUGGGGUGCUGAAAACAUUCUGUGCUUGCACCGGGUGGUGGUUAUGUGGGCAUUACAUAAAAUUCACCAAGCUGCACCCUUAAUGAUUUGUACAAUUUGAUGCACAAAUCUAACAUCUCAAGAAGAAUAAAUUUUACAAAGUACCUAAGAAGCAAAUGACCAGAA